UAGAGGUAUGACAUCUUAUGUUGAAGGUAGUAAAUGGCAGAAUCCUUUCCAGGUAAAGACAUAUGGACGCGAGAAAUGUAUUCAGUUAUAUAGGAAAUACAUAUUAACUGAUACCACGGUCUAUAAUGGCAAGACAUUGUCUGAAUCAUUGUGUGAACUUAGAGGUAAAAAUCUAGGUUGUUGGUGUCACCCAGCCCCCUGUCAUGGAGACGUUCUGAUAGAAUUGCUUAAAAAAGGGUAACUGUGUCUGACUAUGUCAUAUAUUUUAACAACCACACAACAGUUAACAUGCUUUCUGAUAACUCAUCAAGUCAGUAUGCAAGCAUUAGAUCCAGUCUGAGUUCGAUAUAUCGCAACUACGAUUUCCAUCUAGGCGUAAUAAAAAUUACUGGAAUCUGCAUCAUGUUAUCCCUGAUAUGUACCACACUGGUUUUGACUAGUUCUUUAUAUAAAAUUGAUAAAGGGUAUAACAAAACAGGAUGUAUACAGCUAUUAGAUAAGUCAGACUUUCCCUGGAAUGACACUCAUUGCAUUCAGUUAUUUGAGUUACCAGACAACGAACUAUAUGUGAGGGUGUGCAGGUAUCAAGAAUCAGUUAUACUGGACAUAAGAAGGUUUCACAGAGGACAAGCUACUUCAAUUGGAC
rnacentral:lncRNA from 1 species